GGAGGAAAGCAGGGGAUCGCAAGACCUUGUGCUUUAGGAGUGGCCGAUGUCUGAUUAGCUAGUUGGUAAGGUAAAAGCUUACCAAGGCGACGAUCAGUAGCUGGUCUGAGAGGACGAUCAGCCACACUGGGACUGAGACACGGCCCAGACUCCUACGGGAGGCAGCAGUGGGGAAUUUUGGACAAUGGGCGAAAGCCUGAUCCAGCAAUGCCGCGUGAGUGAAGAAGGCCUUCGGGUUGUAAAGCUCUUUCAGUCGAGAAGAAAAAGCUAUAUUAAAUAAAUAUAGCUAAUGACGGUAUCGAAAGAAGAAGCACCGGCUAACUACGUGCCAGCAGCCGCGGUAAUACGUAGAGUGCAAGCGUUAAUCGGAAUUACUGGGCGUAAAGGGUGCGCAGGCGGUACUGUAAGUCAGAUGUGAAAUCCCCGGGCUUAACCUGGGAACUGCGUUUGAAACUACAAGGCUAG
rnacentral:rRNA from 1 species